rnacentral:rRNA from 1 species
AGUUUGACCUGGCUCAGGACGAACGCUGGCGGCGUGCCUAAUACAUGCAAGUUGAGCGCUGAAGGUUGGUACUUGUACCAACUGGAUGAGCAGCGAACGGGUGAGUAACGCGUGGGGAAUCUGCCUUUGAGCGGGGGACAACAUUUGGAAACGAAUGCUAAUACCGCAUAAAAACUUUAAACACAAGUUUUAAGUUUGAAAGAUGCAAUUGCAUCACUCAAAGAUGAUCCCGCGUUGUAUUAGCUAGUUGGUGAGGUAAAGGCUCACCAAGGCGAUGAUACAUAGCCGACCUGAGAGGG